rnacentral:lncRNA from 1 species
AGGAUUGUUGAUCCUCGGUAAUUCAACCUUAUAGUUCAACAAGUUCAAGCCUUCACUGCUGCAGUACAACAACUCUAAUAUACCAUAGAGUAGCAACUAGAGGCAGUUUCUUAAGAAAUUCUAUCACAACAUAAUCAGCAACUAAUCUAUCACAAUCUUCCUACUGCUAGGAUCAUCAACAUAAUGUCAAACCUUGGUG